UGAGGAAUAUUGGUCAAUGGGCGAGAGCCUGAACCAGCCAAGUAGCGUGCAGGAUGACGGCCCUAUGGGUUGUAAACUGCUUUUAUGUGGGGAUAAAGUGCGUGACGUGUCAUGCAUUGCAGGUACCACAUGAAUAAGGACCGGCUAAUUCCGUGCCAGCAGCCGCGGUAAUACGGAAGGUCCGGGCGUUAUCCGGAUUUAUUGGGUUUAAAGGGAGCGUAGGCUGUCUAUUAAGCGUGUUGUGAAAUAUACCGGCUCAACCGGUGGCUUGCAGCGCGAACUGGUCGACUUGAGUAUGCAGGAAGUAGGCGGAAUUCAUGGUGUAGUGGUGAAAUGCUUAGAUAUCAUGACGAACUCCGAUUGCGCAGGCAGCUUACUGUAGCAUAACUGACGCUGAUGCUCGAAAGUGCGGGUAUCAAACAGG
rnacentral:rRNA from 1 species